CGAACGCACCGAGCAAACUGAAUCCGAAAAUACCUCAACAAAGAAAUGGAAACAAAACUGGCUUUGGGUGUUCUUUUUCUCUUGUCACUUCUUCUGAUCGAAGGAACCGAAGGUGUACUGUCCUGCACAAACAAGGACGAGUUGUAACGGUAAGUCGAACGGAAAGCGGGAACGAAGUGUCCGCUCCAUUGCUGGACGGCUCGAUGACAAACAGAUUCUCCUAGAUGAAGACGCACACCUGAGGGGCCAGCAAGUUGAGCAUCUUUAGGGAUCCUACUAAUAUACAACGACGCUGAAAAUGAAUGUAACUUAAAUUUGAUGUUAAUGCCGACUUUAUGAAGUAAUUUUGAGCUCCAUAGAAAGUGUUUUGCUUUUGUUUUUUAAUUAAUUAAGUAAAUAAACGCUGAACGAGUCUCUUA